rnacentral:rRNA from 1 species
UACGGAGGGGGCUAGCGUUGUUCGGAAUUACUGGGCGUAAAGCGCGCGUAGGCGGGUUGGUAAGUCCGCUGUGAAAGCCCGGAGCUCAACUCCGGAGGGUCGGUGGAUACUGCCAGUCUUGAAGGUGCUAGGGGGGAGAUGGAAUUACCGGUGUAGCGGUGAAAUGCGUAGAUAUCGGUAGGAACACCAGUGGCGAAGCGGUCUCCUGGGGCAUUCUUGACGCUGAGGCGCGAAAGCUGGGGGGAGCGAACGG